rnacentral:rRNA from 1 species
AGAGUUUGAUAUGUGCUCAGAGCGAACGCUGGCGGCGGGCGUAACACAUGCAAGUCGAACGGGCGUAGCAAUACGUCAGUGGCAGACGGGUGAGUAACGCGUGGGAACGUACCUUUUGGUUCGGAACAACUGAGGGAAACUUCAGCUAAUACCGGAUAAGCCCUUACGGGGAAAGAUUUAUCGCCGAAAGAUCGGCCCGCGUCUGAUUAGCUAGUUGGUGGGGUAAAGGCCUACCAAGGCGACGAUCCGUAACUGGUCUGAGAGGAUGAUCAGUCACACUGGAACUGAGACACGGUCCAGACUCCUACGGGAGGCAGCAGUGGGGAAUAUUGGACAAUGGGCGAAAGCCUGAUCCAGCCAUGCCGCGUGUGUGAAGAAGGUCUUCGGAUUGUAAAGCACUUUAAGUUGGGAGGAAGGGCAGUAAGUUAAUACCUUGCUGUUUUGACGUUACCAACAGAAUAAGCACCGGCUAACUUCGUGCCAGCAGCCGCGGUAAUACGAAGGGUGCAAGCGUUAAUCGGAAUUACUGGGCGUUAAGCGCGCGUAGGUGGUUUGGUAAGAUGGAUGUGAAAUCCCCGGGGCUCACCCUGGGAACUGCAUCCAUAACUGCCUGACUAGAGUACGGUAGAGGGUGGUGGAAUUUCCUGUGUAGCGGUGAAAUGCGUAGAUAUAGGAAGGAACACAGUGGCGAAAGCGACCACCUGGACUGAUACUGACACU